rnacentral:rRNA from 1 species
AUGAACGCUGGCGGCAUGCCUAAUACAUGCAAGUCGAACGAAGAAAUGUUGCUUGAAGGUGCUUGCACCGGAUAGUUGCUUUCUUAGUGGCGAACGGGUGAGUAACACGUAGGUAACCUGCCUAGUAGUUGGGAAUAACAAUGGGAAACCGUUGCUAAUACCGAAUAUGAAUUCGAAGGGCAUCCUUUGAAUUUGAAAGGGGCUUUCAAGCCUCGCUAUUAGAUGGACCUGCGGCGCAUUAGCUAGUUGGUGAGAUAACAGCUCACCAAGGCGAGGAUGCGUAGCCGACCUGAGAGGGUGAUCGGCCACAAUGGGACUGAGACACGGCCCAUACUCCUACGGGAGGCAGCAGUAGGGAGUUUUCGGCAAUGGGGGAACCCUGACCGAGCAAUGCCGCGUGAGUUUAAUGAAGGUCUUAUGGAUCGUAAGGCUCUGUUGUAGGGGAUGAAACGUCUAGGGAGGAAAUGUCCUAGACUUGACAGUACCUUACCAGAAAGCCACGGCUAACUACGUGCCAGCCGCAGC